GUCGAGAAUCUUUCACAAUGGGGGCAACCCUGAUGGAGCGACGCCGCGUGGAGGAUAAGGUCUUCGGAUUGUAAACUCCUGUCAUGCGUGAACAAGGUUGCUUGGAUAAUACCUGAGCAAAUUGAUGGUAGCGCAAGAGGAAGAGACGGCUAACUCUGUGCCAGCAGCCGCGGUAAUACAGAGGUCUCAAGCGUUGUUCGGAAUCACUGGGCGUAAAGGGUGCGUAGGUGGCGUGGCAAGUCAGAUGUGAAAGCCCGGGGCUCAACCUCGGAACUGCAUCCGAUACUGCCAUGCUAGAGUACUGGAGGGGUGACUAGAAUUCUCGGUGUAGCAGUGAAAUGCGUAGAUAUUGAGAGGAAUACCAAAGGCGUAGGCAGGUCACUGGACAGUUACUGACACUGAGGUACGAAGGCCAGGGGAGCGAACGGGAUUAGAAACCCCGGUAGUCC
rnacentral:rRNA from 1 species